rnacentral:lncRNA from 1 species
CCAAUCCUACUACUUAUAAUACGCACGAAACGAGGCCAAAGUCCAGCAAAGGUUUUGGGGAUAUCCUUUCAUUGAUUAAUGACGAUGACUUAACUCAAGUAAUUCCUGUCUCACGAAAUCAAACAAAAAAGGGAUUAAUAAAUAUCAUAGCGCUCAUAUCUACUUCAACUAUAAAAUUAAAAUUACCUGAGAAUGUGAUAAGGUCUUGUUUGGGUAACAUGUUACAUGAAUUCAAUCAGGGACUGAGAUCUAAAUAAAUCUAAGGAAAAGCAAAUGUAACAUAUUGGUAUAGAGGUUGCAUUACUUUUGCUUGUGUGUUUCCUAAACUUCAAUAACAUCAAAUCAUUUGAUUCAG